AACGAACGCUGGCGGCAUGCCUAACACAUGCAAGUCGAACGAAGGCUUCGGCCUUAGUGGCGCACGGGUGCGUAACGCGUGGGAAUCUGCCCCUCGGUUCGGAAUAACAGUUAGAAAUGACUGCUAAUACCGGAUGAUGACUUCGGUCCAAAGAUUUAUCGCCGAGGGAUGAGCCCGCGUAAGAUUAGGUAGUUGGUGGGGUAAAGGCCUACCAAGCCGACGAUCUUUAGCUGGUCUGAGAGGAUGAUCAGCCACACUGGGACUGAGACACGGCCCAGACCCCAACGGGAGGAAGCAGGGGGGAAUAUUGGACAAGGGGAGAAAGCCUGAUCCAGCAAUGCCGCGUGAGUGAUGAAGGCCUUAGGGUUGAAAAGCUCCUUUACCAGGGAUGAAAAUGACAGUACCUGGAGAAUAAGCCCCGGCUACCUCCGUCCCACCCGCCGCCGUAA
rnacentral:rRNA from 1 species